GGAAAAAUCAUGUCAAAUAUUUUCGGUUUGUUGGUGGAAGUGGUGAGGUUCUCGAAUAAAAAAAUGUUUUCCGGCCAAAAAGAACCUGCUACAGGGAACCUGUUUCAGGGAAUUUUGCUGAUUUGAGGCCAAUCAGUACUGUAUGGUAAAGGCCAGCAAAAAUCCAAGAAGCAUAAUGUCGCGGCGUUAAAUUUUGAAAUAAAACGAUUUUGUCCCCGGAUAAAUUCGGAACUAAAACACAAAUGGAAGUGUUGUUAUCGCAAGAAAAUUGACAUAAUUUCGAACGCGCUUCAAAAUAAUCCUGUCACUAACCAGUUUACAAAUAUAAAUCUGUUUCACGUUUUCAGAAAUUGUAAAUUUGUUUGCAAAUACUUGAAAAAUAAAAUGUAAAACUGUUUAAUUUCUUUAA